GAUGAACGCUGGCGGCGUGCCUAAUACAUGCAAGUCGAGCGAACAGACGCUGCUCUUGCUCCUCUGACGUUAGCGGCGGACGUGUGAGUCACACGUGUAUCACCUCCCUAUCAGACUGGUAUAACUUCGGGACACCGGCUCUAAUACCGUAUAAUCUCUUGAUCCGCAUGGUUCAAUAGUGAAAGACGGUUUUUCUGUCUCUUAUCGCUGGAUCCGCGCCGCAUUAGCUGGUUGGUAAGGUAACGGCCUUCCACGGCAACCAUGCGUAACCGACCUGUGGGGGGGAUAGGCGACACGGGAACGGAGACACGGACAAGAGUCCUAAGGGAGGCAGCAGUAGGGAAUCGGACGCAAUGGGCGAAAGCAUGACGGAGCAAGGCCGAGUGAGUGAUGAAGGUCUCCGGAGCGUAAAAAUCGGUUAUGAGGGAAGAACAAAUGUGUAAGGAAAUAUGCAGGGAUUGACGGUAACUAAUCAGAAAGCCACGGCUAACUACGUG
rnacentral:rRNA from 1 species